CGGCACGCGUCGGGAGAGCGCGCGACGGUUUGUCACCAAGCCAGUUGCGCCGCCGAAGGGGCACACCCACAAACUCUCAGGCAAAAGGACCGAACGCGU
rfam:Burkholderia glumae BGR1 chromosome 1, complete sequence.